UACAGAGACUGCAAGCGUUUAUUCGGAGUUCACUGGGCGUAAAGGGUGCGCAGGCGGCCAUGUGUGUUGGGCGUGAAAGCCCGGGGCUUAACCCCGGAAUUGCACUCAAAACUACAAUGGCUAGAGCAUUGGAGAGGUAGCAGAAUUCACGGGUGUAGCAGUGAAAUGCGUAGAUAGUCGUGAGGAAUACCAGAGGCGAAGGCGGCUACCUGGGACAAUUGCUGACGCUCAGGCAACGGAAAGCGUGGGGAGCAAAAGGG
rnacentral:rRNA from 1 species